AAGCUUGCUUCUUUUGGAAUCGAGUGGCAAACGGGUGAGUAACACGUAAACAACCUGCCUUCAGGAUGGGGACAACAGACGGAAACGACUGCUAAUACCGAAUACGCUUGGGAGACCGCAUGAUCUUCCAAGGAAAGGGUGGCCUCUACCUGUAAGCUAUCGCCUGAAGAGGGGUUUGCGUCUGAUUAGGCAGUUGGUGAGGUAACGGCCCACCAAACCUACGAUCAGUAGCCGGUCUGAGAGGAUGAACGGCCACACUGGAACUGAGACACGGUCCAGACUCC
rnacentral:rRNA from 1 species